CACCGGUAUGCCAUUACAUGCGUAGACGAACCUCACACCUUCCAUCAAUAGCUAAAACCGGUCAAAAGUCGGGAUCAUUUCACAAGCCAUUGGCCACCAACGAUUCUAAAUAGAUUCGGUUGGAGCACUCAGGACCACCAUGCGCGAGAAGGACGAUAGUCCCAGUACUUGAAAGGCCGGCAUGUAAACAGCAGAUUAAAGAGUCAUUAGGCCACCUGUGUUUGUCUCCGUUUUCUGUAAUAACUACUACAGUGACCAGUUUUAUGGAGGAACGACAAUGACGAAGGGAGAAGGCGGGUCGUUUGAAGUUCAUCAUCAAUUGUUAUCAUUCGUAAAUAGUCAUCAAGACAAUCCACUCCACUCAAACACACUACUGGAACCAAUCAACUAAUUUGAUAGCUGUGGACACGGACAAUGACACCCUUCAAUGAGGAUAUCUAAUCGGUGUGACAAUUCACACAUCGAGAGACUUGGAAUCAAGAUGUAACACAUGAAUGAUUAUUGCAAUCAAGGAGUCUAAAUCGAGGUAAAACAACGUGUGGGAUCUGUAGCACCACCAAUGAAACGUUGUUACAUCUGUAACGGUAAUGAUAGUGAAUUAUUGGGCAAAUGAAUUUAUACACUUGAAAACUGGAUUUGUUCGAAAAAAUACACACCUUAUCAAACGUUGCUUUGUUGAAAAUCUGCAAACAGAUUUAUGACAAAAACACACACAAUUAUAUGACCGUUUCAAAUGCGUCACUAAAAGAAAAAACAUUUCUAUUUGUUUCAUUUUUAGACAGCUU